GGUUUUAAAUGAGCUAGAACCAGAUUCUUCCUGAUGUAGCCAGUGUGCCCUAAAGCAUCGGUGAGAAACCCUUCACAGGUGCCUCUGCUGUGCUUCUAUUUGGUCCUUUCUGUUGUCUGCAUGAACUCAUGAACCAUAGAAUCACAGAGUGGUCUGUGUUGAAAGGGAGCUUAAAGCUCGUCCAGCUCCAACCCCCUGCCAUGGGCAGAGACACCUUCCACUAGAGCAGGUUGCUCCAAGCCCCUGUGUCCAACCUGGUCUUGAACACUGCCAGGGACGGGAAAAUCCCCUUUAGUUCCUACUGGGGCUGUAGAUGGCUGUCUGGCAUCUCAUGAAACGAACUACUGGUUGUAAUUGGGGGAGUUUUGGGGGGUUUUUUUGGUUGUUUUUUCCUUUUGCCACUAAGCAACACGAUUCUCUAGGAGAAAAAAAAUAGAAAUCAAAGCAAAACUAUGCAUUAAAAAUCAGAAGGAAGACACGUGUCUGUGUUCUGCUUACAGGUGGCUUGCUGCAACAAUGUAGGUCAGGAAUUGGGAGCCACUAGCAAACAGAGAGAAUCCUGAUCCCAGAAAGGGCUUUUCCAACAACUGCCCAGGUAGGAAGAAGCUACAAGUCAGUGAAGUUUUUGUGCCUUCACUAGCUCCAGAAGGCCAGAGGGCAUCACUCCCUGUGGAUACUAUGGAAAUGGUAAUUAGUAGUUAGCAUGGAAACUAGCAUAGCGGUAGGUCCUCCUCAUGAGUUACUGAAAGCACUGAGGGGGAUAGCCAGGAUAAAAGGACUUGAUAGGUAGAAGAAAUGGCAAUAGGAUUGAGAUGUGAAGUGUAGGAAGUAAUUCAAGGCUUAACAGUAGCAUAAAGGAAAGUGGAUUAAAAAGCCAGAAGGAAGCUCAUAGGAGGGAUGUGUGUGUGGAGAGCAGGAGUUGCUGGAUGAACAGAGCAGCACAGAACUUGCAGUGGAGUUAUUUAAGGUUUUGAGGUAGGUUUGAAUGUGUUUGACUGAAGGGUCAGGUCCUGUCUCAGCUGACCCACAGCAACUUGCCAUGUGCUUUUAGCCCUCUGCAAAUGCCAAGUGAUGGUAGCAUACACUGCAGGGAGAGAGAUUAAGCUAAAUUUGCCUUUGAUUUGCAAGGAACAAGUUUAAUGCUGGUUACCACAGCCUGUUCGUCACAGCUUAUGAUGUGGUAACUCUGCUGUGUGUCUCAACCUUCUUGUAAUGCCCACCAUACAAUCCCUGUGGAAAGAUGCUCAGCACACUACAGGUAGUGUUGCCAAACUGCUACAUCAUCAUGCUUUUGAAGACUGACCAGCUCCACUCUGUGUUGGCUCAGGGACCUUUAUGGUGUUCCUUACUGCAAGAUGCAUAUAUGAUGAAUGGGAAUUAAUGAUGAAGGGAAUUGUGUGGGAAGAGAAGAGAAGCUCAUUUAAAUAACCUUAUUACCUUGAGGUUGUUUAAACCCCAGAGAACAGCCUGUGGCAAAAUAGGUGAUGUGUUGAAGCAAGAUUAUGGGUGAUGGGUUUGGUUUUGCUGGGAAAGGGAGAAAAUAUGAGAUGAGCUAAAGGAGCUUUCUCACUUCUGAAAGGCUUAAUAGUCAGGUUGAGCUUUCCAACCUGAGCAUCCUCUGCUGUGGAUGGAAAGCAAUAAUGUACAGUAGAAAAGGUGAAUUCCUCAAUGUCUGAUUUUUAGGCCAGUAAGGUAUAACAUUGACAAUGUUUGAAUGGACAUAAUGAAGAGAAACUUAGUCCCAUUCAGACAUCCUGCAGGAAUGAGGGAGCACUGUUUAUUGAUAGCAUAGUGUUGGUCUAAUGUUUAGUCUGAACUACAAGGAACUAGAAAUAGGUAAAGAAGGGUAGUUCAGGGGUGACUGACUUAGGGUGUAACUAACAUCUCAGAUUGUUAAGGGAUAGAACUGAAGCAGUGAAUUCCAGAGGUAUCUAGGCUGGCUGCUGGAGAAGGAAGACUGAGUUGGCUGCAGGGAAAAGAUAGAGCAAAACCCCUAAAAGGUACAGUAAGUCUUAACAAUCUUUUUGUAGUUCUCUGUGUGUGUUUGGUGGUGGUUUGUAGGUUGGGUUUUUAGUCAUGAUCUCUGCAGGAGCUGUGUCCUUGCUCUUCUUUUUGUUUUGCCUUCUUCAAAUUACCUGUAAGGAGAAAAGGCUUUCAACCUCCUGUAAAUAAACUUGAGGGACUUGCUUAUUAACUGAAAGAAAAGAGAAGAUGCAAGGGAGCACAGUGUACAUACGAAGGUAACAGAAUCGGGACCUCUGGUAGCAAGCAAGCAAAUGGGAGUCUGGUGGGUUUAUUUAUGGCUGCAGUUUGAAAUAAUUGGUAUUCUCUGAUCAGGGCAGUCAGUAGGAGGCCUUUCAGUUUGUGAUUUAAAUUCUUCAGCAAGGUUGCACAGAAUUAUCAUAGAAAUCAUGAAAUGAGGUCUGCCUUUGCCAGUCUCUGGUGGUUACUCUAAUUUAUUCACAUUUUAGCCAUUGAUGUGAGCUCGAGUUGUCCAUUUUGGUCAGUAGUUUCCAACCUUUUAUUCUGGAUCUGAAAAAACUCCCUUUAAAAAGAAAGUCCAGUGGCAAUGUAGACCACACAGUAGUAGGUGUAAGCACGCAGAUGGUAGACCUGUUAUUCCAUUUACUUUUCACAGGCCCUUCAGAAGUAGUUUGUGGGAUUUCCCUUGGGAAUCUCAAGCCAGGGAUUGCUGGUCACUGCUCUUGAUGUGCUGUAGAGUCAGAGAAAGGAGAAGGUGAUUCAGAAGGCAGUUAAAACAAUUGCCAUCAGGAAGAGAAGAAACCUCCUUUGGGAGAAACAAACAUUGGAGAAGGCAGAUUAACUGGAGUCCUGAAACAGGUAGGAAACUUGCACCUUGUUCUGUCUCUCACGCUUGCACGGCUGCUCUUGUGUCUUUCUUACUAUUCCGAGUUCAUGCCAGGAUCAUAAACACCAGGUAAUGCUACCUUCCAUGCUGUGGAGCUCUGUGGAGAUGGAGCAGAGUGUUACAGAGGGAAUAAAUCCUGAGAGACAAAGAUAAAAUGAGGUUUGCUCGAGAGAGGAAUCUGCAAAUACGAGGUGUCUCUGCCACACUUGCAGAAUUCUUAUCAAGUCAUCCGAGCACACACAGCCCUGGAGCAGUCCUGGAUGUGCCAGCGGAAAUGUUUCACUUGGAAAACUUCAUUGUCCUGUAAUCAAUUUAAACAAUCAACUCUGUUACGUGGGUAGCACAAUUAACUUUAAUGUUAUUUCCAGCUAGUGCAAGGUGUAAGCCGCCGUAUUUUCAUUUGGGAUUCUUUCAUUUCUCUUCAGUGUACACAGUUCAGUCAACCCUGGUUUGUUAGACAAAUAGAGGCCCAUGUGGCAGAAGUUAUUGAGCAUAACCACUGCCUUUGGGUCAAAACCUCAGUAUACCUCCUAGGACACUCUCAAAAGGUAGAACAAACUACUGCAUCCUCCCUGCACAGACGUUCACACGAGUAGAAAGGGGGAGCCAGCUAAUGGAAGUCAGGGAGACAGAACUGAGUACUAAGGAUUGUUAACCCCCCUGUGUUCCCAGC
ensembl:lncRNA